rnacentral:rRNA from 1 species
CCUACGGGAGGCAGCAGUGGGGAAUAUUGGGCAAUGGGCGCAAGCCUGACCCAGCAACGCCGCGUGAAGGAAGAAGGCCCUCGGGUUGUAAACUUCUUUUGUCAGGGACGCAACAAAUUACGGUACCUGACGAAUAAGCCACGGCUAACUACGUGCCAGCAGCCACGGUAAUCCGUAGGGGGCAAGCGUUAUCCGGAUUUCCUGGGUGUAAAGGGCGUGUAGGCGGGAGAGCAAGUCAGAUGUGAAUUUCCAGGGCUCAACCCUGGUACUGCCUUUGAAACUGUUUUUCUUGAGGGAUGGAGAGGCAGGCGGAAUUCCGUGUGUAGCGGUGAAAUGCGUAGAUAUACGGAGGAACACCAGUGGCGAAGGCGGCCUGCUGGACAUUAACUGACGCUGAGGCGCGAAAGCGUGGGGAGCAAACAGGAUUAGAUACCCGUGUAGUC